GACGAACGCUGGCGGCGUGCUUAACACAUGCAAGUCGAACGGAAAGGCCCUGCUUUUGUGGGUUGCUCGAGUGGCGAACGGGUGAGUAACACGUGAGUAACCUGCCCUUGACUUUGGGAUAACUUCAGGAAACUGGGGCUAAUACCGGAUAUGAGCUCCUGCUGCAUGGUGGGGGUUGGAAAGUUUCGGCGGUUGUGGAUGGACUCGCGGCUUAUCAGCUUGUUGGUGGGGUAGUGGCUUACCAAGGCUUUGACGGGUAGCCGGCCUGAGAGGGUGACCGGCGACAUUGGGACUGAGAUACGGCGCAGACUCGUACGGGAGGCAGCAGUGGGGAAUAUUGCACAAUGGGCGGAAGCCUGAUGCAGCAACGCCGCGUGCGGGAUGACGGCCUUCGGGUUGUAAACCGAUUUCGCCUGUGACGAAGCGUGAGUGACGGUAAUGGGUAAAGAAGCACCGGCUAACUACGUG
rnacentral:rRNA from 1 species